AGUGAACGCUGGCGGUAGGCCUAACACAUGCAAGUCGAACGGCAGCACAGGAGAGCUUGCUCUCUAGGUGGCGAGUGGCGGACGGGUGAGGAAUACAUCGGAAUCUGCCCAGUCGUGGGGGAUAACGUAGGGAAACUUACGCUAAUACUGCAUACGACCUUCGGGUGAAAGAGGGGGAUCGCAAGACCUCUCGCGAUUGGAUGAGCCGAUGUCGGAUUAGCUAGUUAGCGGGGUAAUGGCCCACCAAGGCGACGAUCCGUAGCUGGUCUGAGAGGAUGAUCAGCCACACUGGAACUGAGACACGGUCCAGACUCCUACGGGAGGCAGCAGUGGGGAAUAUUGGACAAUGGGCGCAAGCCUGAUCCAGCCAUACCGCGUGGGUGAAGAAGGCCUUCGGGUUGUAAAGCCCUUUUGUUGGGAAAGAAAUCUUUCAGGCUAAUACCCUGGGAGGAUGACGGUACCCAAAGAAUAAGCACCGGCUAACUUCGUG
rnacentral:rRNA from 1 species